GAAGCUUAUAGAAGUAGAAUAAAACCUUGUGCAUAAACCUUGUGAUCUAUCAUUUCAAAAAAUACAAAAUCUUGAAAAUGGCAAAUCCACAACAAGAAUCAAAUAGGCCAUGGAUUCUUGAAGCAUUACCUCUUCUAGUAGUCAUACUAAUCGCUGCUCAUGUACUCGCUUUGGUGUAUUGGAUUUACAGGCUAGCUACUGAGAAACAGUCACAGAGAAGUAAAAAGCACUAACAAUGUAGAUAGAUUGGAUUUAAUUUUGGUUCAGUUUGUAGGAAAAAUGCAAGGGAUUCAUUCUAAACAUUUCAGACGCAAGCUUUACACUCAAGGCUUUGGUGAUUAGUCAGCCCUCUUUGCCUGAGCAUACAUGUGUCCCUUUUUCUCCGUGAACUUGUGUGUGAUUAUGCUGGAAAAGUCUGGCAUUUGUUACAUGUUAAUGGAUUUUAAUUGCUUGCCAUUGUUGAUAAACUUCUUCAUUCUUCUGUUACACCAGUGUUGUGAAUUUCUACCCCAAGUUUGUAAUUCUUCUGUAGGAUCUGCAUCAAUUAUCCUCUUUGGAUGUGUUCUGUUUGUCACAAGUUUAGCUAGAGCCUCUUAUACAGUUGUAGUUUCUUAUGCAUAGUAAACUCUGAGUCAUACUUAUAAAUAUGGUCUAGUAUGAAAAUUGCUACAGAUAUUUUGGGGUGUAAUUGGCUGUUUGAUUAGUUAAAGUGGCUGAUGUGGCAGAAAUGGUUUUCUUCAAAGACGGUCAAUCAAAACUUUCAAAAUGUAGGUCAUACUUUAGUCCAUUUUAAUCUGUGAAAUGAUUGUUUUUUCCUUUCC